AUGACACUGAAUUUGACCUGUGAGGCUGUGAUACAGUUAAGUUAUGUCAUGUGCACUGCACAUGAGGGUAGAAUGGUCAUUUCACCUCCCCACUUGUCUUUCCCCCUUUUAAUACCCUAGUUUACUUCAUCUUCAACCUUCAUACUCAUCUGAACCAUCAUCUCCUUCAUCUUCAGUUUGGAUCAAUUACUCAAGAACAAAAAGCAUAAUCUUGAUGAACAACAUUAAGGUACUCGUAGUUGUUUUAUUGUAUUUAUAUUUUAUUUAUGUCUCAGAUCUGGUCAUCCAGAGAUUUUUAACCUGUCAAAGUCCUUUCCGGUCAUGAAGUUAAAGUUACAUCUGUUGAUGUAGCUGCAGGUUAAUCCUUGUUUUCUUGUAAGAGCUUAAACGGGUACUUGGGUAGAAUGGGUUGAAAUGAUUUAAUGCAUAAAAUAUUCCAAAAUCGUAUUAUUUGGUGAGUAAUAAAAUUUUGUAAUCAUGUUAAACACUAUUUGUUUGUGGAAAAAUCUGAAAAUAUUUUAUAACCUCUGUUUUGGGUUUGCCCGCCCGAUCCACACCUGAACAGUUGACCCGGCUGUUUUGCUAUCUCUAGAAUUGAGUGGUUUGGUGUUAUCGGUUUUGCAGAUGGGCAAAGUAUUGCGAGUUUGCGACUGUUUCUCAUGACAGGACAAUAAACUAUGGUCUAGCAAAAAUGCUGAAAAGGAUAAGGCAAUGGAUGUUGAUUGAAUCUCUUUAGGCAAAUUGUAUACGAGGUAAAGUCUGUGAAGAUGAAGGGGAUGAUGUUCAUAUGAAUAUGAAAGU
rnacentral:lncRNA from 1 species